UUCUACUUAAAUAAAAUAAUCAAACUUAUUUUGCCUUAGUCUCUCUAUUUCAAUCAAAGUUUCCUUUUGUAACAUUUAGGCUUGUGUACUUUUCUACAAUUGUCUACUCUUUUAAGGGUUCAGAGUUUUUGUUUCUCAGUUUUAUCUGCAGUGUAUGGAAUUGAAGUAAAGGUGCCAAAUUUAGACGAGAGUAAGCUAUGAUUAUACUGUGGCAAUUGCUUGUGUGAUCUUGGUGGGGCUUUCUGCACUCCAGUACUCUGGAACACAUAGAGUUGGAUUUCCUUUUACUUCAAUAUUGUUAGCUUGGCUAUCGUGUCUCGCUAGAGUUGACAUUUAUAACAUAUUCCAUUGGAACCCGGGUGUGAUCAGCGGUCUAUCUCCAUAUUAUAUCUGUAAUCUUUUCCAGAAAAAAGGAAAAAAGUGGAUGGAGUUCACCAUGAGGCAUUGUUCUCUGUGUUACAGCUGAUCUGCAGGCCCAGAAGCUAUGUUUAUUGACCUUGGCCAUUUCUCACAACUUUCUCUCAGGGUAAUCUAUUUCGACCUUCAAUUUACGUGUUUUACUCCUCAAUCAACGUUAAAGAAACAUUAAUGGGGAAUAAUGCAUCCCUUCUUCAAAUAGAUUGCAUUUACAGUCAUUGUGUUUCCAUGCUUGGUUCUGGCUUAUAUGGGUGAGGCCCCAUACCUAUCCAAGCACAAAGAUGAUCUUCAGAGAAGUUUGCAGCAAGGCUAUUCCAGGUAAUUAAGCUUGAACGGUAUCUCUAUAGACUGGAAACUGCAAGGAAAGUUUUACUUUUGAGAGAAUUGGUUGCCUAGAACAAAAAAUUGGAGCCUGAUGGAUUUCUUUUAGUAAGAUAAAUUUCAAAUUUUCUUACUUGUGCUCCAGACAUAAAUUUUGGCCAGUGUUUCUCAUUGCAACUCUAUUUAAUUUUGUGGCCAGUCUUUUGAGAGAAAUGCAUAUGAUUUGCAUUACAUCUCUCUCUCCCUUCCUAUUUUCUGUCAACAAAACCGGGAAUAACAAGAGUUUGCGUGGUUUACUCGGAUGUUACAAGUGGUGCAUCCUCAAUGUUGGCUCAUUUUUGUCACCAACUUUCCUGCAAUCCAUCAGAUUCUCAUAUUGAGUUUUUAAUGAUCCCAAAAGUUCCAAUUGCUGAAUGUUUCCAUAAUGUGAGGAUAGGACCUCCAGAAUUCCCUCUGUUCUGGUGCAUCGUUAGGUACUAUAGUCUUAUGUGAACGCCCUGGUCAGAUAUCAGAUAUGAGCACAAGGGAUGCGAAGGACAGCCGUGACUUGGAAACUCAUCCGAUGGAAAGCAUGUCAAUGUUCCUGAAUUGUAAGAGCAAACCAAAGAAAUGGCAAUAAUAGAGCCAAAUGAAACAGAUAAAGUCAGCGCUAAUGAGAUUAAUUUAUUAGUGAUUUUUCUACAAA